rnacentral:rRNA from 1 species
CACGUAGUUAGCCGGGGCUCCUUAGUCAGGUACCGUCAUUUUCUUCCCUGCUGAUAGAGCUUUACAUACCGAAAUACUUCUUCACUCACGCGGCGUCGCUGGAUCAGGGUUCCCCCCAUUGUCCAAUAUUCCCCACCUGCUGCCUCCCGUACGGAGUUUGGGCCGUGUCUCAGUCCCAACUGUGGCCGAUCACCCUCUCAGGUCGGCUACUGAUCGUCGCCUUGGUAGGCCUUUACCCCACCAACUAGCUAAUCAGACGCGGGUCCAUCUUGCACCACCUCAGUUUUACCCCUGUACCAUGCGGUACUGUGGUCUUAUGCGGUAUUAGCAGUCGUUUCCAACUGUUGUCCCCCUGUGCAAGGUAGGUUACCCACGCGUUACUCACCCGUCCGCCACUCAGUCUGUUAUUCUUCCACCCGAAGGUCUCCAAACAACAGCUUCGUUCGACUUGCAUGUGUUAAGCACGCCGCCAGCGUUCAUCCUGAGCCAGGAUCAAACUCU